CUCCAGCGAACAAAGGGAUGCGCUAAUCAGACCGCUAGCCGGAGGCAGGAGGAAACGGAGCUCCGCUUCUCUGCACAAUUCGACGAACCGUUUUCUGAUUCCUUUUCUCUCCCCGCUUUUCUGCCAAUAACGAGAAAGUUUCUCCCCGCUUCUCGCCCGGGGUGGCUGGCUCGCAGAGAAACUGGCCGAGCCGGUGGCGACGGCGCCUUUUCUCAGGACGGCCGCUAGAUGGCAGCCUUGCUCCACGUGAAAAAUCCCCGGUGCGGCGGCUGCGGGCGCGGGCGGCUGCACUUCGCACCUUCGGUGGGCCCUGAAUCUACGAAGCGAGCGCUGCAGAAAGUCAUGAAUAAUUUGAAUUUCUGGCACGGUGUAGGGAUGAUUUAGAACAAGUCAUUGAAUUUCUACCUCACCGCUCUCUCGCUCGCUCGCUCUCUCGCUCUCACCCUCGUUCUGCGUUCUGUCCGGGAGGAGUACGGAGAAGCCAAUAGGAUGCGGGGUCUCUAAUGGAUGCAAAUGAUCAUGAAAAGACAGUGCAAAAUAUGAAACAACUCAUUUGCAGGGAAGUAAAUCACCGAAAACUGUUUAUGAACUGGCAUCCUUUCUUCGAAAUGUAAA